AAGGCAUACGACUCAGUAACGCGUAGUCAACCUAACCUAUGGACGGGAAUAACCUCGGGAAACUGAGAAUAAUGCCCGAUAGAACAUUAUGCCUGGAAUGGUUUAUGUUCCAAAUGAUUUAUCGCCGUAGGAUGGGACUGCGGCCUAUCAGUUUGUUGGUGAGGUAAUGGCCCACCAAGACUAUUACAGGUACGGGCUCUGAGAGGAGUAGCCCGGAGAUGGGUACUGAGACACGGACCCAGGCCCUAUGGGGCGCAGCAGGCGAGAAAACUUUGCAAUGUGCGAAAGCACGACAAGGUUAAUCCGAGUGGUUUCUGCUAAAGAAACCUUUUGUCAGUCCUAGAAACACUGAUGAAUAAGGGGUGGGCAAGUUCUGGUGU
rnacentral:rRNA from 1 species